CGUAGGUGGCAAGCGUUGUCCGGAAUUAUUGGGCGUAAAGCGCGCGCAGGCGGUCCUUUAAGUCUGAUGUGAAAGCCCACGGCUCAACCGUGGAGGGUCAUUGGAAACUGGGGGACUUGAGUGCAGGAGAGAAGAGUGGAAUUCCACGUGUAGCGGUGGAAUGCGUAGAGAUGUGGAGGAACACCAGUGGCGAAGGCGACUCUUUGGCCUGUAACUGACGCUGAGGCGCGAAAGCGUGGGGAGCAAACAGGAUUAGAUACCCUGGUAGUCCACGCCGUAAACGAUGAGUGCUAAGUGUUAGAGGGUUUCCGCCCUUUAGUGCUGCAGUAAACGCAUUAAGCACUCCGCCUGGGGAGUACGGCCGCAAGGCUG
rnacentral:rRNA from 1 species